rnacentral:rRNA from 1 species
UACGUAGGCAGCAAGCGUUGUUCGGAAUUACUGGGCGUAAAGAGCGUGUAGGCGGCCAGGUAGGUCCGCUGUGAAAGUCCGAGGCUCAACCUCGGAAUGUCGGCGGAAACCCUCUGGCUAGAGUCCGGAAGAGGAGAGUGGAAUUCCCGGUGUAGCGGUGAAAUGCGCAGAUAUCGGGAAGAACACCCGUGGCGAAGGCGGCUCUCUGGAACGGUACUGACGCUGAGACGCGAAAGCGUGGGGAGCGAACAGG